CCUACGGGAGGCAGCAGUAGGGAAUCUUCGGCAAUGGACGGAAGUCUGACCGAGCAACGCCGCGUGAGUGAAGAAGGUUUUCGGAUCGUAAAGCUCUGUUGUAAGAGAAGAACGAGUGUGAGAGUGGAAAGUUCACACUGUGACGGUAUCUUACCAGAAAGGGACGGCUAACUACGUGCCAGCAGCCGCGGUAAUACGUAGGUCCCGAGCGUUGUCCGGAUUUAUUGGGCGUAAAGCGAGCGCAGGCGGUUAGAUAAGUCUGAAGUUAAAGGCUGUGGCUUAACCAUAGUACGCUUUGGAAACUGUUUAACUUGAGUGCAAGAGGGGAGAGUGGAAUUCCAUGUGUAGCGGUGAAAUGCGUAGAUAUAUGGAGGAACACCGGUGGCGAAAGCGGCUCUCUGGCUUGUAACUGACGCUGAGGCUCGAAAGCGUAGGGAGCAAACAGGAUUAGAUACCCCAGUAGUC
rnacentral:rRNA from 1 species